UUGGAAUAACCCAGUUCUUCGCCAGCUUUGAUAAAGUAUUCGGCCAUCCCAACAAACGGCGGUACUUGGAGCGGAAUUUCUCCACCGGUUCCAUGAAACUCAUCUACAAAAGAAAUGUCUCUUAUUUAAGAAAUGAUGACUUUAUCGGAGAAUGAACUCACUCGAUCAAUCAAGGCACCACCACUCCAUUUCUGCGGAACAGUUUUAUACAUCCAGUCAAGCCCAGGGUGAUUUAAUAACAUGAAGGACAUUGCCGGUACUGAAAACCAAGGAUUGGGUUCACCUCCAGCUACAAAUUUUGAAAAUAUGUGCUUAUACUUGAGAAGUACGUCAAAGUGCUUCGAUAAACGAUUCGCAACAACAGAACCGGCUGAGCCGCCCCCAACUUAAGGGAACGUGCCAAACAUAAAUUAUAAAUACAAUUGUGUUACGUAUUUUUUGU